GUAUGCCGUAAUAGUCCGAGCCCAAAACAAAAGAAAAUUAAAACCCACUGGCCCAGACGACAAACCCAUAUUUUGCAUUGCAAACCCUUUCCAAUUCCUUCGAUUCACCCAACCGGCGAUUCAAUUCACUCAACCGGCGAUUCCAAUCACGUAGUUUCAAGGAAGAACGGAUUGAAGAAGCACAAAAAAUUGUUCUUUUGUUGUAGGAAGAAUCACAAAAAAUCUAAAAAGAGGCUUGUCAAUUCGUCUACUGAAGAAGACUUUUCACCUUCUGGAAAAACUACUUUGAUGAUCAAGAAUAUAUCUAAUCAGUUCAGGUACAGUAUAUGUUUCCUUAAUUUUACGAACUUUGCUAUGUGUUUGGAUUUUUUUGCACAAAUCGACCACCAUUCAAGUGUUUGAUAAUUUGUGUGAUUCGUGUAAUUUCUGUGAUUAGUGUUUCUGUGAUAAUCUGGGCAAAAUAUAUAAUUUGUGUUGAAAAUUUCUGCGAUUAGUGUUUGAUGAUAUUUGUGGGCAUGGGACAAAUGGGUAUGUUGAUGAUGCAUUAUACAAGAUGAGGUGUUGUGGAGUUCAACCGUGAACAUUUAAUGAGGAUAACCGUUCACUUAUGCUGCUGCUGCUCUAUGUACCAUGUGUGGUAUUAUUUUACUUGACUCAAUUUUCACUCAAUGGUCGAGGGGUGGAAUCAAUAAUGAGAAACCCCUACAUUAACACCAUUAACGUUGUUUUGAAAGAGAAUUUACCCAGCAGAAAUGAGAAUGUUCCUCAAGAACAGAGCUUUUUGGGGGUGGCAAAAGAGAAAGAGAGAGAAAGGAGACAUUUUAUUUGAGAAUUUCUUGUUGCGAGAUAUACGAAAAUCACACGGGGGUAAACAAUUUCAUUUUCGUGGGGUCCGUCCACUGCUUAUUUCUUUCACUCUUCAACAACAAAGGUGAGAUGUGACCGUUGAAACUUCAUUUUCAAUUUCCGUUGGUUUUGUGGGGCUUUUUUGGUGUUCGUAUUACAAAUUAUUGGCCAACUGCCGUUACUGCCCCAACUGCUACUCCAAACUUCGUAAUGAAAUUUUUUAUAACCCAAAUUUCUAAUUUUUUUUUUUCAGCCUUAAAAAAAUGCGAAUCUGUAUAAAAAAUCAUUUUAGAUGAUAGCAAGUCCUUGAUUUAUUGUUCGAGAGAACUAGACUGACGAUAGAGCUUUACUCAUUGAUAAUGAAUAAGUCAAUUACCAUAUGGCAGCAAUUAUGAACAAGUCAAUUACCAUAUGAGCCUUACUCAUUACUCCAUAUGGCAUAAUUAAAGCAUAGGAUAGGCAAAGAUUUGUUAAAUUCUGCAUCAGCAGACAACAUUCAAAUGUUUUCUCCUAAGCCUGAGAACAAUGGACCGGGAAUAAUAAGGUUUGAUGCCAAAUAGACCACAUAUUUGGGACGCCUUUGUGUCAAUAGAGAAUAUGGGCUUAUUUUUAUGUAAACUAAUUUUAGCUUGUGCUAACCUUUUUUUGCGUACAUUUGUUUAUUGUGUUGGUUCAGACUUUUUAAAUUAUUAUUCUCGUGCCAAUUUCAGGUGAACGUGAGAUCACUACCAGGUUGAUGAGAGACCUACUCCCCUCUUUGUUAAAUGGUCUUCUAUAUCAGGUACAAGCAGCGUACAAAUGAGCAUUGCUGAAGUCUCACCCAGAUCAAGCUCCGCAACAUAACAUUCUUCACAGAGUCCGAGUCUUAUCAUAACUAUGCUUUCCAUGCUUGAGAUAUUUAAAGAAAGAAGCCAUUAGUUAUCAAUCAAGCUCUCGUGGUUGGAAAGCAUUCUUUUGUUUGUAGAAUAACUAAUUUGUGUUGGUUGAACUUGUAUCUGUUGGUUGAGAAGCCAUUAGUUAUUAAUCAAGCUCAUCAUUUAUUGAAUUUAUCUCCGUUGGUUGAGGAAAUAGAAAGUAUUUGUGACAUUGCUUGGUACAUUUUAU
rnacentral:lncRNA from 1 species